rnacentral:rRNA from 1 species
AUUGAACGCUGGCGGCAUGCUUUACACAUGCAAGUCGAACGGUAACAGGUUAAGCUGACGAGUGGCGAACGGGUGAGUAAUGCAUCGGAACGUGCCCGAUCGUGGGGGAUAACGCAGCGAAAGUUACGCUAAUACCGCAUAUUCUCUGAGGAGGAAAGCAGGGGACCUUCGGGCCUUGCGCUAAUAGAGCGGCUGAUAUCAGAUUAGCUAGUUGGUGAGGUAAAGGCUCACCAAGGCGACGAUCUGUAGCGGGUCUGAGAGGAUGAUCCGCCACACUGGAACUGAGACACGGUCCAGACUCCUACGGGAGGCAGCAGUGGGGAAUUUUGGACAAUGGGGGCAACCCUGACCCAGCCAUGCCGCGUGAGUGAAGAAGGCCUUCGGGUUGUAAAGCUCUUUCGGCCGGGAAAAAAUCGCAUGGGUUAAUACCCUGUGUGGAUGAUGGUACCGGAAUAAGAAGCACCGGCUAACUACGUGCCAGCCGCCGCUGUAA